UACGUAGGCAGCGAGCGUUGUUCGGAAUUACUGGGCGUAAAGCGUGUGUAGGCGGCCACGUAAGUCGGAUGUGAAAGCCCCAGGCUCAACCUGGGAAGUGCACUCGAUACUGCGUGGCUUGAGUAUCGGAGAGGUUGGUGGAAUUCUCGGUGUAGAGGUGAAAUUCGUAGAUAUCGAGAGGAACACCAGUGGCGAAGGCGGCGACCUGGGCCAAUAUUGACGCUGAGGUGCGAAAGCGUGGGGAGCAAACAGG
rnacentral:rRNA from 1 species